rnacentral:rRNA from 1 species
AUUGAACGCUGGCGGCAUGCCUUACACAUGCAAGUCGAACGGCAGCACGGGAGCAAUCCUGGUGGCGAGUGGCGAACGGGUGAGUAAUAUAUCGGAGCGUGCCCGGUCGUGGGGAUAACGUAGCGAAAGCUACGCUAAUACCGCAUACGAUCUACGGAUGAAAGCGGGGGAUCGCAAGACCUCGCGCGAUUGGAGCGGCCGAUAUCAGAUUAGGUAGUUGGUGAGGUAAAGGCUCACCAAGCCGACGAUCUGUAGCUGGUCUGAGAGGACGACCAGCCACACUGGGACUGAGACACGGCCCAGACUCCUACGGGAGGCAGCAGUGGGGAAUUUUGGACAAUGGGCGCAAGCCUGAUCCAGCAAUGCCGCGUGCAGGAUGAAGG